rnacentral:rRNA from 1 species
AGUGAACGCUGGCGGUAGGCCUAACACAUGCGAGUCGAACGGCAGCACAGUAAGAGCUUGCUCUUACGGGUGGCGAGUGGCGGACGGGUGAGGAAUACAUCGGAAUCUACUUUUUCGUGGGGGAUAACGUAGGGAAACUUACGCUAAUACCGCAUACGACCUACGGGUGAAAGCAGGGGAUCUUCGGACCUUGCGCGAUUGAAUGAGCCGAUGUCGGAUUAGCUAGUUGGCGGGGUAAAGGCCCACCAGGGCGACGAUCCGUAGCUGGUCUGAGAGGAUGAUCGGCCACACUGGAACUUAGACACGGUCCAGAGUCCUACGGGAGGCAGCAGUGGGGAAUAUUAGACAAUGGGCGCAAGCCUGAUCCAGCCAUACCGCGUGGGUGAAGAAGGCCUUCGGGUUGUAAAGCCCUUUUGUGGGGAAAGAAAAGCAGCAGGUUAAUACCCCGCUGUUCUGACGGUACCCAAAGAAUAAGCACCGGCUAACUUCGUG